UGGCUCUGAGGAAGCAUGGCCGAGAAGCUCCAGGUAGAUAACCGAGCAGAGAUGCCUCCUUGUGUAACUGUUCUGAUUAUUGGAGCUGGAUGCCGGGGAAAACGCUACUCUUAUUUUGCUGUGCAUUUUCCCAAUCGAAUGAAGGUAGUUGGAGUUGCAGAUCCUCGUGCUUUUGCUAGAAAUGACCUUCAGAAGAUUCACAGCAUUGACAAGAAAAAUGUAUUUAAUGACUGGAAAGUAGCCACAGAGAGAGAGAGGUUUGCGGAUGCUGUUAUAAUAGCAACACCAGACAGACUGCAUAAGGCUCCAGCGAUAGCUUUUGCUAACAAAGGCUACCACAUUUUGUUGGAAAAGCCCAUGGCAGUAACACCUGAGGACUGCAAAGAAAUUGUGUCUGUAUGUGCAGCUAACAAUGUCAUGCUUGCAGUGUGCCAUGUCCUGCGGUACUAUCCAGCCUCACUGAAGAUAAAGGAGCUACUAGAUGCUGGAGCAAUUGGAGACAUCUGCCACAUACAGCAUCUGGAGCCCGUUGGAUUCUGGCAUUUUGCCCACUCGUUUGUGAGAGGAAAUUGGAGGAAUGAAGCAGAAAGUACAUUUUCUUUGUUAGCCAAGUCCUGCCAUGACAUCGACCUCAUUAAUUUUUGGAUGGGUGAUAAAAGGUGCUUAAAGGUGUCAUCUUUUGGCAGUCUUUCUCAUUUUACUAAUGAGCAUAAGCCCAAAGGAGCUGCCAGUCGGUGCUUAGACUGUUCAGUUGAACAAACCUGUCCAUAUUCAGCCAAGAAGAUUUAUCUGCAACGUGCAGAGAAGGGUUAUUUUAAUUGGCCAGUAUCUGUUGUGUGCAAUAGUGGUGUUUGUGACAUAGAAGCUGUGACAGAGGCCCUGCGCAGCGGUCCAUAUGGAAGAUGUGUUUAUGAAUGUGACAAUGAUGUUGUCAGUAACCAGGUUGUUAAUAUGGAGUUUGAAGGAGGAGCAACAGCUGCUUUUACUAUGAUGGCCUUUACGGAGCGGCUGGGUACAAGGAAAACCACAAUCUAUGGGACCAAGGGAGAACUAUUCUGUGCUGGGGGGGGACCAGUGCAAGUUUUUGACUUUUGCACAAGAGAGAAAACUGCUUAUCCAACAAACAAAUCCGCAUUCAUUCCAAGCCAUUUAAUGGGGCACGAUGGAGCUGACUACUAUCUGAUGGACAGCUUUAUUUCAGCUUUAACUGAGAAUAAACCAUCCCUCAUUCAGACUGGUCCAGAAGCAACCCUGCAGACCCACCUCCUUGUAUUUGAGGCCGAGAAAUCCAGAAAAGAAAACCGUGUUGUGUUUUUAGAAACUAGAAAGGAACUCUUCCCGAAGCCCACAUACAAAUGAACUUUUAAAUUUGCUCCUUUCAUAUUUAAGGGGACAGAAUAAAAACUGGUCCCAGUUCCCAGGGAAAUCAUGUCUUGUUUAUACUAAUCUGGAAUAUAUCUGGGGAUGGGCACUAUCUAAAAUCAAAUUUUGCAUACUACAGAUCUGUAAAAUGCAAAAGUAUUUGUGUCUAUCCUGGUUUCCUUUAAAGGACACGAAGCUUAUUCUUCAGCAGCACUUCACUUAACCCUUCAGUUCUCUGCCCUGAGAAACCAGCAGUUCGAGGUACAACGGCAAAGGGUUUGACAGCUGGAAGUCAGUUUAAAUCAGCAUUUCUCGCAUGCAGCCACCAGGGGCUUUUUGUGCAGUCAGAACAGCCUCCUGGGCAGUGAUGGAGAGGCCAAAGCAUCAGCCUCGCCCCCUCCCUCCCUGUUGCUCCUGCACUGCCUCUGGAGACA